rfam:Macrostomum lignano unitig_47671, whole genome shotgun sequence.
UAUCUGGUUGAUCCUGCCAGUAGUCAUAAUGCUUGUCUCAAAGAUUAAGCCCAUGCAUGUCUAAGUACAACCUUAAUACGGUGAAACCGCGAAUGGCUCAUUAAAUCAGCUUAUGGUUCCUUAGAUCGUCUCAUCCUACUCGGAUAACUGUGAAAAAUCUAGAGCUAAUACGUGCUUACAAGCCCUGACCUCACGGGAGGGGCGCAUUUAUUAGAUCAAAACCAAUCGGGGCUUGCCCCGUCUGCUUGGUGACUCUGGAUAACUUUUGUGCUGAUCGCAAUGGCCUCUGCGCUGGCGACGUAUCUUUCAAGUGUCUGCCCUAUCAACUUACGAUGGUAGGUGAUAUGCCUACCAUGGUUUAUAACGGGUAACGGGGAAUCAGGGUUCGAUUCCGGAGAGGGGAGCCUGAGAAACGGCUACCACAUCUAAGGAAGGCAGCAGGCGCGCAAAUUACCCACUCCCGGCAGGCGGGGGAGGUAGUGACGAAAAAUAACGAUACGGGACUCUUUUGAGGCCCCGUAAUUGGAAUGAGUACACUUUAAAUCCGUUAACAAGUAUCUAUUUGGAGGGCAAGUCUGGUGCCAGCAGCCGCGGUAAUUCCAGCUCCAAUAGCGUAUAUUAAUGUUGCUGCAACGUUAAAAAGCUCGUAGUUGGAUCUGAGGACUCGAAUUGGUGUGCACCAUACGGUGUUACUGCCGAUUCGGCCUACCUAGUCGGUGCUCGCUCUUGUGUUCUUAAUUGAAUGCCCUGAGUGGCCCGGCAAGUUUACUUUGAAAAAAUUAGAGUGCUCAAAAGCAGGCCAUUAGCCGGAAUACUUCAGCAUGGAAUAAUGGAAUAGGACUUCGGUUCUAUUUUGUUGGUUUUCGGAAGCCCGAGGUAAUGAUUAAGAGAGACAGACGGGGCAUUCGUACUGCGGUGUUAGAGGUGAAAUUCUUGGAUCGCCGCAAGACGAACAACUGCGAAAGCAUUUGCCAAGAAUGUUUUCAUUAAUCAAGAACGAAAGUCAGAGGUUCGAAGACGAUCAGAUACCGUCCUAGUUCUGACCCAUAAACGAUGCCAACUGGCGAUCCGAGAUCGUUUGCUUAUUGACCUCUCGGGCAGCCUCCGGGAAACCAAAAGUUUUUUAGGUUCCGGGGAAGUAUGGUUGCAAAGCUGGAACUUAAAGGAAUUGACGGAAGGGCACCAACCAGGAGUGGAGCCUGCGGCUUUAAUUUGACUCACACGGGAAAACUCACCGCCGGCCCGGACACUGUUAGGAUUGACAGAUUGAGAGCUCUUUCUUGAUUCGUGGGUGUGGUGGCAUGGCCGUUCUUAGUUGGUGGAGGCGAUUGUCUGGUU